GUGGGGAAUAUUGGACAAUGGGCGAAAGCCUGAUCCAGCCAUGCCGCGUGUGUGAAGAAGGUCUUCGGAUUGUAAAGCACUUUAAGUUGGGAGGAAGGGCAGUAACCUAAUACGUUAUUGUUUUGACGUUACCGACAGAAUAAGCACCGGCUAACUUCGUGCCAGCAGCCGCGGUAAUACGAAGGGUGCAAGCGUUAAUCGGAAUUACUGGGCGUAAAGCGCGCGUAGGUGGUUCAGUAAGUUGGAAGUGAAAUCCCCGGGCUCAACCUGGGAACUGCUUUCAAAACUGCGGAGCUAGAGUACGGUAGAGGGUGGUGGAAUUUCCUGUGUAGCGGUGAAAUGCGUAGAUAUAGGAAGGAACACCAGUGGCGAAGGCGACCACCUGGACUGAUACUGACACUGAGGUGCGAAAGCGUGGGGAGCAAACAGGAUUAGAAACCCCGGUAGUCC
rnacentral:rRNA from 1 species